AUUCAAUCUUGAAGAUUGCCCGGCAAUGCCACAUCUACAAAACGACUCGUAUCACGGAAGCACCUUCGGCGCCUUGGCUGCGGGAAACAACACUACCAGGAGAGAGAACCCUUCGCACCCAUCCUGAGCUCCGUGUUCCAUCAUGUCAGCCGCUGUCUCGAUGAUGUUGAUGGCGUAGGCGCGCCAGAGAGUGAAUACGAAGACCGGCUAAUGGCUGAAUUCGAGGCUAUAAUUAACACGGUUGGUCCCAAGACUGUGGCCGCAGGCAUUGUCGAGCCGGUGGUGGGUGCAACACUUGGGAUCGUACCAGCAACGAGAUCAUCCCCCCCCCGCCUCAAAGA
rnacentral:sRNA from 1 species